rnacentral:tRNA from 1 species
GGGCAAUUAGCUCAGUAGGUAGAGCAUCUGACUUUUAAUCAGGUGGUCGCAGGUUCGAAUCCUGCAUUGCCCACCA